rnacentral:rRNA from 1 species
AGAGUUGAUUAUGGCUCAGGAUGAACGCUGGCGGCGUGCAUAACACAUUCAAGUCGAACGGACUGAUUUUGUAGCUUGCUACGAAUGAAAGUUAGUGGCGGACGGGUGAGUAACGCGUGAGCAACCUGCCUCUGUGUGUGGGAUACCGUCUGGAAACGGACGUUAAUACCGCAUAAUCCAUAGAGAUCGCAUGGUUUUUUAUGGCAAAGAUUUAUUGCACAGAGAUGGGCUCGCGUCUGAUUAGGCAGUUGGUGAGGUAACGGCCCACCAAACCGACGAUCAGUAGCCGGACUGAGAGGUUGAACGGCCACAUUGGAACUGAGAGACGGUCCAGACUCCUACGGGAGGCAGCAGUGGGGAAUAUUGGGCAAUGGGCGAAAGCCUGACCCAGCGACGCCGCGUGAAUGUUAAGCCCUUCGGGGUGUAAAGUUCUGUCAGUAGGGAAGAAUAAAUGACUGUACCUACAAAGGAAGCACCGGCUAACUCCGUGCCAGCAGCGGC